GGGUCCGCAAAAAGGGAUGUGCGCAUGCAUGCAUUAUCAAAGGCAUAGAAAGAAUGAGUGUUUAUUUUGAUUUUUUUUAUCUACAUUGGAACUCAAAUAAUAUUUAUAAUAAUACACGUCUUUAUCACAGGAAAAAUAAUAAUAUUAUUAAUUGUUGUUAGUGUUUGUGGCAUAAUAAAUUGUAUUAUGUUACCAAAUAUAAAUAUAAAUAACAAAUAUUAAUAUGUCGUUC
rnacentral:lncRNA from 1 species